UACGUAGGGUGCAAGCGUUGUCCGGAUUUAUUGGGCGUAAAGAGCUCGUAGGCGGUCCGUCACGUCGGAUGUGAAAACCCAGUGCUCAACACUGGGCCUGCAUUCGAUACGGGCGGACUUGAGUGUUGUAGGGGAGACUGGAACUCCUGGUGUAGCGGUGAAAUGCGCAGAUAUCAGGAAGAACACCGAUGGCGAAGGCAGGUCUCUGGGCAACUACUGACGCUGAGGAGCGAAAGCGUGGGGAG
rnacentral:rRNA from 1 species